GACGAACGCUGGCGGCGUGCUUAACACAUGCAAGUCGAACGAUGAAGCACCAGCUUGCUGGUGUGGAUUAGUGGCGAACGGGUGAGUAACACGUGAGUAACCUGCCCCUCACUCUGGGAUAAGCCUGGGAAACUGGGUCUAAUACUGGAUACGACCGAUCUCCGCAUGGAGUGUUGGUGGAAAGUUUUUGUGGUGGGGGAUGGACUCGCGGCCUAUCAGCUUGUUGGUGGGGUAGUGGCCUACCAAGGCGACGACGGGUAGCCGGCCUGAGAGGGCGACCGGCCACACGGGGACUGAGACACGGCCCAGACUCCUACGGGAGGCAGCAGUGGGGAAUAUUGCACAAUGGGCGAAAGCCUGAUGCAGCGACGCCGCGUGAGGGAUGACGGCCUUCGGGUUGUAAACCUCUUUCACCAGGGACGAAGCUAACGUGACGGUACCUGGAGAAGAAGCACCGGCUAACUACGUG
rnacentral:rRNA from 1 species